rnacentral:miRNA from 1 species
UAUUACAAUUGUGUCGGAAU